rnacentral:rRNA from 1 species
GUCUACAGCCAUACCACCCUGAACGUGCCCGAUCUUGUCUGAUCUUGGAAGCUAAGCAGGGUGAGGCCUGGUUAGUACUUGGAUCGGAGACCACCUAGAAAGACCAGGUGCUGUAGGUG